rnacentral:lncRNA from 1 species
UUUCUUCUUUCACCUACCACCACCACCACCAUUAUCACUAUCUCUCCUUUUUUUUCUCCUCCAUCUACACCACCAUCCAUUUCCUCCCUCCUUGUAAUUUAAAAGAUACCUUAUUAAAAUUUUAAAUUCUAAAAAUGCCUCAUAAUACAUUCCAAAAAAUACCCUUAGAUACACUCUCACAAAUAUCUAACCAUCUAAAAUUUUUGAAAACACCCUCUAAAACAACUCCAAAAAUACCAAUUCAUACAAAAAAAAAAAAAAUCUACCACAUUUUCUUCUUCCACCACACACUGCCACCUAGCACAUAACACUACCGACCGCUGUCAUCGCCAUUAUCGAUUCCUUUCUCUCUCCUUAUUCUCCUCUCUAUCCUCUUUCUUCUUCUCCUUCCUCCUCCCCCCUCCCCCCUCCCUUCCCUUUCAUUCCUUUUCCCCGUAUCAGCAGCCUCCCUCUUCUCUCUCCAUUUUCGAUGGUGACUAGAGGGCCUAGUCGCCGUCGAUCACAACUAGAUUUGAAUUCGAUUAUGACUAGUCAUGGAAAGAGAUGGGGAAAAAGGAAAGAAGGGGAGGAGGAGGAGAACAAAGCAGAUUAAGGGAGAAAAAGAGGGAAAUAGAGGAAUGAGGAAGGAGGAGGAGGGACGAGACGGUAGUGGUGGGUGGCAAUGGGUGAUG